rnacentral:lncRNA from 1 species
UUUGAUAUCCAAUUAUUCGAACCUUUAGACUAUUAAUUAGUAGAUAGGCCUAGAACCAUAGUGAUAGUGCCCUAACAAGGUAGGGAAUUAUUACAAGAAAUAAUAUCGUAAACCCGUUCCAAAAUGAUAAGCCAUGAUUCGCCAAAUUCCAAAACUUGCCGCAGCUGCGUCACUGACUUGCCCAUUCCUCUUAAAAGAUCGUGGAGCUCGUGGCGUAGGCAGUGCUGUAGACCAUCGUUUUCUUCUUCAGACGUGGGUGCUCGACCCCGGAUUGCUUCUCGAAGGCGUGUUUCUAGACGCUGGAAAUUCCAUGAAUCUUCAAGAUCUUUUUCAGUCUGGUUUCCAUAUGGGUCAGCGAAUCAGGCAACAGACCGGUCAAAUUGGUUAGAAUGUCGUCGAACAGAGUGCCAUCAGUGCCACCAUACUUGCCACCACAGUUGCCAUCAACAACAAUACUGAAACACGUGCCAUCGAUGUUAAACUUAUCAUCGAGCUUAAAAUCCUCUAACCUGAGUGAAUCAUCGAGCAAAUGCUUCUCGAAAUCCUUAUAAAGUUUCUUUUGCUGACGGAUGAAUGUCUUGAUACUAUCAUCUAGCUGCUGGACUUGAGAGACGUAUGCCUUGAUACCAUCGAGGAUUGCCCUAGGAUCUUUCUGGGCCCUGACCACUGAGAUCUCCUCCAAGAGAGAGAUGCCAUGCCGGAUAGUUUCAUCCAAUGUGUGCAGCAAAUGGAUGGAAAGUUCGUCUAAAUCUCUUAAGGCCGAAUGGAAAAUUUCAAAGGCGAGUUCCAGAUCGUCUAAUAGAGACUCGACAUCCGGGGACAAACUGCGCGUGAUCUGACAUAGGCUUGACAUCCGGUGGAAAUUGGAUGUGAUGUCCUUCUCCAAAUCCGGCCCCAACAACAUCCCCCCAAGUAGAAGACGACCAGUCUUAGGGCAAGUUGACAACACUCUAUCUUCAUGAAGACGACCAGUCUUAGAGCAAGUUGACAACAAUCUAUCUUCAGGAAGACGACCAGUCUUAGAGCAAGUUGAUAAUCUUGAUACAUCUUCAAAGAUUUGCUCCAACUGCAGAGACAUCUUCUCGUCCUUCUUGUCGGUCGUCUCCGCAAGGGCCCUGGUAUCAUCUUUGAUAUCAAAGGAUAGGAAUGCCGUCAAAACUAUAAAGCUCGUCUUGAAAUUCGAACUGACCUUGUCUAUUUGCUCGGAGUAAAUGGGGAUUAUCUUCUUCAGCUUGUGGGCGAUCCCUGAUGACUUAUUCAUCCUGUCCACGAGCUGGGUAGCUUGGUGGAUGUCUUCUUUGAGCACCUUGAUGAGUUCGGUAGGUACCCCAUUGACAAAUUCUCCAGGUACCAGCGGAGAUUGAGUGUCCAGUCGGGCAGCAAUCGACUUGAGACACACCAAGUUGGAAUUGAGCUUGCGAACAUUCGGUCCGAGCUCUUUGUAUUUAUCGUAGAGGCGGUUAGCGUCUGCGAUAAGUUUGGCUAUUUGGAAUGCGAGGCCCACGGCCCCUGCGACAACUCCCAAUGCCCCGGCCAUCGAAGGAGAGAGUGAUGCGCCGUUUUGGGAAUUCGAUCUGUUUCUGUUUCUCUUUGAGAGGGAGAGUGGUAGAGCUAGGGUAGGGUUUUGUGGGAUACUGCGUUGGACUUGAACACCAACAUUAGAAUUAUUACAAAAAAAAAUAUCGAAAACCCCGUCCACAAAGUUAAUCCAUGAUUUGCCUAAUUCCAAAACUUGUCGCAGCUGUGUCACUGACUUGCCCAUUCCUCUUAGAAGAUCCUGGAGCUCGUGGCGUAGACCAUCGUUUUCUUCUUCAGACGUAGGAGCCCGGCCCCGGAUUGCUUGUGUUUCUAGACGCUGGAUUGCUCCUUUCAGUUUGGCGAUGCAUGCUUUUCCGAGGUAAUAUCCUAGUUCUUCUGCUGCAACGCGAGGUCCUUGAUUCCGAUGGCGGAAGUUUUCUUCUAGACGAGGGAUUGCUUCUUCCAGUUCCCGGAUGUCUUCAAGCUCUAGAUAUGGGCGGUCUUCGUGUUCCACAUUCUCUGCGAAUUUUUUUUCUAGACGGCGGAUUACUUCUUCCAGUUCAACUACUAGACGGUGUCGUUCCUGUAAUAUUCGAUUCGACGUCGGCAUUGUUCUUCUUGUCCUUAUAUUUCUGCCCUACACAAGGUUAUUUAUAGGGAUUGUUUUAUGUAAUGCUAUUCCCAACAUGAAAAAGGAAAACAUUCCUUGUGAAGCAAGUGAUAAGAAAUAUAAUCCAACUAGAAUAAGGAAUUACCAUGUUUUUGAGAAGCAAGUAAAAUCCUAUUCCCAACAUAAAAGAAAACAUUCCUAAUACCACUAUAACAAGGAAAGUUCUCAAAAACAAUCCUAAUACCACUAUAAUUAGUUAAAAGACGUUAUGGUGAAGAAAGCAAUGCUAAAAUCCCCACAAUUACAAUGAUCGCUAAAUGCUAAACCUAUUGUCUUUACUCUCUCCCUCUCUUAACGUUUUUGAGAAGCUGAGUUUCUCAAGAAAAACUAAUUCUUGUUGCAUAACUACCUUGACAAGACAACUUAAAGAUUAAUAAGAACCUUUCAGUUUUCUUAUCAGUAUUAAAUGCCAAAAUUUAAUCAAAUAUUUCUUGGAAAAAUUGAAAAUUGUAUAUAACUUGAAGCAUGAAUGAGAAUAGAGAAAAACAAAGUAGUGGUAGAAACAAGAGAUGAAUACUCUUAACAAAAAUUAGUGCAAAGCGCAAACUAGUACAAUAAUGGAAGCAGAAAACCAUGCAUACUACAUUUUGACGUGAGUGGUCAGUUAGUGUCUUUUCCUUGAAUAACAAGAAAUGAUACUUAGGGUAUUUGGUUUCAUAGAUCUAACCGGCCAGCAUGCCCAGAAACAAAAUAGGUAGCCCUUCUCUUUAACUACCUAUCUAGGUAGGUAAAUAACGUAUUAGUGGAUUAAUCUAUGCUGUUAUUAGGACAAAAGCCAAACCAUAAAACAAAAGGCCAAACCUAAUUCUUUGUUCUCAGUACCCUCUCUUUGAAAAGUAUAGGAGCUCUAGAGAAAAACGGUUGUUAUUUUUAUUCUUCUUUCAACUUUUGGCAAGAACCUCAAACCAAACAAAGUUGACUUGUCUUGAGUUUUAACACGAAUACGUAGGAGCAAUGGCACGAAACUCUUUCUUGAUUUCUCCCAUACCUCUUUAUCAUAGAGUAAUCCCCGAAUGUAUAUAAAACCUUAGAGGAACACAAUAAAGUUUCAACACACCUAUACUGCUCCUCAUUGCUUCAGACAAACACAAAUACAACAUAUUGACUCUAAGGAGGAGAACAGAAGAGAAUGGCUACUAUGAGGAUUUCUGGUAUGAUCUUUCAGUGUGUGUUUGAAGGAAGUCUAUCUAUGCAGGACACUGAAAUUGAGGGAAGGCCAUACCAUAAGAACUGCAAUUGUAUUUAAGGGAAGGCCAUACCACAGGUCCAAGGGUGGUGCUUGCUCCAAUGCUUGUCCUCAACAUAGAAACAUUUCCUUCCCCAAGAAACAGUCAUGGGCCGACAAUUCCAUAUGCAUUGCAGCAACUCCAAAGCAUUCUUCUCAGCAUUCUUGUCUGGCUAACACUUCCGCGUCCAACUCCAAAGCAUUCAUCUCAGCAUUCUUGUUGCAUAACUACCUUGACAGACCUUUCAGUUAUUCUUAUCAGUACUAAAUGCCAAAGUUGAAUCAAAUAUUUCUUGGAAAAGUUGAAAAGUGUCUUUAACUUGAAGCAUGAAUGAGAAUAUAUAGAGAAAAACAUAGUGGUAAAAACUAGAGACGAAUACUCUUUAACACAAAGUAGUGCUACUUAACUAGUAUAAUAAUGGAAGCAGAAAACCAGACUACAUUUUGACAUGAGUGAUCAGUUAGUGUCUUUUAUUUCCUUGAAUAACAAGAAAUGAUACUUAGGGUAUUUGGCUUCAUAGAUCCAAUCGCCCAGCAUGCUCUGAAACAAAAUAGGCAGCCCUUCUCUAACUACCUAGCUAGGUAGUUAAAUAACGUAUUAGUGGAUUAAUCUAUGCUGUUAUUAGAACAAAAGCCAAACCAUAAAACAAAAGGCCAAACCUAAUUCUUUGUUCUCAGUUUCAACUUUUGGCAAAAACCUCAAACCAAACAAAAUUUAUCCAUAGUCUAGCUUCCCAUUGUUGUAUACCAAGAUCAAAAUCAUCAAUGUGUAGUUUUACAUGGCAAAAAAAACGUAGAAAUUUCAUUGAAUCAAAGUUUAAGUUCAUCUGCAUAUGGACAAAAUGCAGGCAGUAGUAGUUUUAAUAGUGUAGUCAAAGCCAAGGAGUUUCAUGUUUAUAUUCUCUUACUAUUUUAUUUUGAUGAACAAGAAUUGCCAAGCACGUUAAAAGAAGACUGAUCGAUGUUGUAGCAUUCUGCAGAAAAGUUAAAGAAACAUGAGAAUGUCCAUACAAAUCACAGUGAUUAUUGUUGUAAAAAUGCCAAAGUUAAACACCAUAUUUUAUAUCUCCCUAACAUGACUUGUACCUUGUAGCUAAACAAGUAACAGAAUGAUUCUCACCAAAAACAAGAUAAAAGAAGGUCGGUUAAAAAACGUUAUUACGGAGAAAAGUGGAAACUAUGCAAAUCUAUUUCUCUUUCAACUUUCAAGUAGGGGACAAACUUGAGGGAGGGAAGCUGAAUAUUUCAAGAAAAACUAUAUAUUGUCUUGUUGAAUAACUGCCUUGAUAAGAUAUCAUUAUAUCUGAAAAGACCAUAGGAAACUUCAAAUGGGCAAUAAGCCAAGCACAAACGUAAUUCCUAUUCAAAGUUAAUCCCUCAAUUCGAUGAUGAAUUCAACCCAACAUGUAACAAGCCAAGCAUGAUUUUCAGAAAAUCUCAAAAUUUCCAAGCAAUAGGAAGUUAGGAACCAUGAAAGAGAACGGAGACGAACAAAAUUGUGGUUAAAACUAAGGUUCAUUAUCUCAACACAAAUAUGAAUUAUAAACAAAUAUAAUGAUGGGAGCGCAAAAAGCAUAUUACGUUUUAACAUGGUUAAUCGUGGGUGUCUUUUACUUAUAUAACGAAUAAUUGAUGCUCGGACCAAGACCUAUAUGACUAUAUCAGUUAGCUGCAUAGAGUUAACCGCCAAGCAUAGAUUAUAGUUAUGCAGCCUCUCCUAACUACCCAGUUAGGUAAAUAACGUCUUUGUGGAUAAAUCUAAGCUAUUACUAAAGCGUAGAAACCCACUAAUACUUAGAUAUUUAAGCCAAAGACAAAGACACAACCAGAAAACAAGAAGCCAAUACGACUAGUCUUUUCUCUCUCCCCCUCCCUCAGUGCAAAAACCCGAGAGCCUUAGAAAUAAACGUUAUUAUUAGUCUUCUCCAAUUUGGCAAAAAACAGAACCACAAACCGUACAAAAUGAUCUCUUUGAUUUCUCCCACGGCCCAUUUAUCAUACAUAUAUACCCUUCUCUAUAUAAAUGAUUCAGAAACCACUAAAUUUUCAACACUCAACUCACACAACUAGUACACUGCUCACUUAUUCAACACAUUCUAAAGAAGAGAAUAGAAGAGGAUGACUACCUUCGGAGCUUCUGGCAUGACGUUUCAGUGUGUGUCUGAAGGAAGCCUAUCAAUGCGGGACACAGAAAUUGAACGAAGACCGUACCAUAAAAAUUGCAACUGUGCACUUCACAAGUCUAAGAGGGGUGCUUGUUCCAAUGUCUGUCCUCAACAAAGUAACCUUUCCUUCCCUAAGAAACAUUCAUGGAUCGAUGGCUCAUUGUGCAUGUCAGCAACAAUUUCCAAAUCCUCCACUCCACCCGGCGCCACAUCCAUUUCCGUCGGAAAUAUGGAAAGACUUAAUGGUGUCCAAUCCUUGUCUCACUCCGUCGGAAAUAAGGAAAGUAUUAAUGGUGUCCAAUCCUUGUCUCACAGAUGAGGGAUACAGGUUUGAUGCGACUGUACUUGAGUUAGAAGAAAACGGUCAGGAACUAGGAAGCAAUUUUGAAUUUUACGUUUCUCUUAUCCUGGAGCCCCAGCACCAGUCCUCAAGAUAAAAGCUAAUUUUGAGAAACUGGUCCUUGUGAGCUAACUUCUUCUAGCUUCAUCCAUGUAAAUUCUACUGAGUUUUCUGUAGAGAUUAUUGCCACAUUACUUAAAUACAACUGAAGCUUCACACAGCAAAUCUGAGUCUCUCUGUCUGAGAUCAUACUUGCAUAUGCCCUUUUCCCAAUUCUACCAGGGUGUACAUUGACUACAGUCUACAAUAUACUAUGUUAACAUCAUUUCGUUUCAAAGAGGUAUUUUUUUUUUUUUUUUUUCUUCAUUUUCAUUUUCCAAUGAAGAGAGAGAGAGAGGACAAGGGUAAGAGACAAAAGGAAGGAGAAGAUGAAAAUGCCGUUAAAUGGGGAAAAAAGAUUGACCACAACAUUCAAUUUUGCUUCUCCAAAACCAUAAGUAGGGACAGAAAUCGUAUAUUUGAGAUUAUGCACUUGUGUCUGUUCUUAACAUGAAAUAACUGGUAAAAAUGACCUCAAGCAUUCCAAUUGGCAAUCUCUAAACCACAGUAGCUGUAAAAAGAUCGACUCAAUAGUUUCACUAAGCUGCUGGAUAUAUUAAGCCUUUCUGCAGACAUGGAUAACAAAAAAGUUUAAAAAUUGAAUGCAGCAAGUCUUUGUCGAUCAUUAGUAAUUUAUUAACAGGAUAUGCAUAAAGAAUUACCGUUAAACACCAUAUAAUAUGUCUUCCUAAAUCAGUAUAAGUUCCAACAAGUGAAUACAGUAACAGAGUGAUGCUUGAUAAAAACAAAAGAGAGAAGACAAUAUGCUAUGAAACAGAGACUGGUAGCAAGGUUAGUUAAAGACGUUAUCGUGGAGAAAGCUAUGCUAAAACCCCCACAAUUACAAUGAUCGCUAAAUGCUAAAUCAUGACAACCGAUUUGUCUCUACUCGCUCCCUCUCUUAACGUUUUUCAGACGACCAGUCUUAGGGCAAGUUGACAAUCUAUCUUCAUGAAGACGACCAGUCUUAAGAGCAAGUUGAUAAUCUUGAUACAUCUUCAAAGAUUUGCUCCAACUGCAGAGACAUCUUCUCGUCCUUCUUGUAGGUCGUCUCCGCAAGGGCCCUGGUAUCAUCUUUGAUAUCUGACAUCUUCUCGUCCUUCUUGUCGGUCGUCUCCAACAGGGCCCUUAUGCGGCUGGUAUCAUCUUUGAUAUCUCCGACUUGGAAUGCCAUCAAAACCAUAAGGCUCGUCUUAAUAUCCGAACUGACCUUGUCUAUUUGCUCGGAGUAUAUGGGGAUUAUCUUCUUAAGCUUGUGGGCGAUCCCUGAUGACUUAUUCAUCCUGUCCACGAGCUGGGUAGCCCGGUCGAUGUCUUCUUUGAGCACCUUGAUGAGUUCGGUAGGUACCCCAUUGACAAAUUCGCCAGGUACCAACGGAGAUUGAGUGUCCAGUCGGGCAGCAAUCAGCUUGAGACACACCAAGUUGGCAUUGAGCUUGCGAACAUUCGGUUCGAGCUCUUUGUAUUUAUCGUAGAGGCGGUUAGUUUGGAAUGCGAGGCCCACGGCCCCUGCGACAACUCCGAAUGCCUCCGUCAUCGAAGGAAAGAGUGAUGCUCCGUUUUGGGUAUUCGAUCUGUUUCUGUUUCUCUUUGAGAGGGAGAGUGGUAGAGCUAGGGUAGGGUUUUGUGGGAUACUGCGUUGGACUUGGACACCAACAUUAGAAUUAUUACAAAAAAAAUAUCGAAAACCCCGUCCACAAAGUUAAUCCAUGAUUUGCCUAAUUCCAAAACUUGUCGCAGCUGUGUCACUGACUUGCCCAUUCCUCUUAGAAGAUCCUGGAGCUCGUGGCGUAGACCAUCGUUUUCUUCUUCAGACGUAGGAGCCCGGCCCCGGAUUGCUUGUGUUUCUAGACGCUGGAUUGCUCCUUUAAGUUUGGCGAUGCAUGCUUUUCCGAGGUAAUAUCCUAGUUCUUCUGCUGCAACGCGAGGUCGUCCUUGAUUACGAUGGCGGAAGUUUUCUUCUAGACGAGGGAUUGCUUCUUCCAGUUCCCGGAUGUCUUCAAGCUCUAGAUAUGGGCGGUCUUCGUGUUCCACAUUCUCUGCGAAUUUUUUUUCUAGACGGCGGAUUACUUCUUCCAGUUCAACUACUAGACGGUGUCGUUCCUGUAAUAUUCGAUUCGACGUCGGCAUUGUUCUUCUUGUCCUUAUAUUUCUGCCCUACACAAGGUUAUUUAUAGGGAUUGUUUUAUGUAAUGCUAUUCCCAACAUGAAAAAUGAAAACAUUCCUUGUGAAGCAAGUGAUAAGAAAUAUAAUCCAACUAGAAUAAGGAAUUACCAUGUUUUUGAGAAGCAAGUAAAAUCCUAUUCCCAGCAUAAAAGAAAACAUUCCUAAUACCACUAUAAUAAGGAAAGUUCUCAAAAACAUAGCACAUAUGAUUCAACACUCAACACUCUUAACUCAUACAACCUUCGGACCGUACCAUAAAAAUUGGUAGAAACUAGAGACGAAUACUCUUUAACACAAAGUAGUGCUAACUAGUAUAAUAAUGGAAGCAGAAAACCAGACUACAUUUUGACAUGAGUGAUCAAUUAGUGUCUUUUAUUUCCUUGAAUAACAAGAAAUGAUACUUAGGGUAUUUGGUUUCAUAGAUCCAACCGCCCAGCAUGCUCUGAAACAAAAUAGGCAGCCCUUCUCUAACUACCUAGCUAGGUAGUUAAAUAACGUAUUAGUGGAUUAAUCUAUGUUGUUAUUAGAACAAAAGCCAAACCAUAAAACAAAAGGCCAAACCUAAUUCUUUGUUCUCAGUACCCUCUCUUUGAAAAGUAUAGGGCUCUAGAGAAAAACGGUUGUUCUUUUAUUCUUCUUUCAACUUUUUUCUCUCAUUCUAGUUCAAGUUAAAUAAUUAGAAUUUUGCUUGUUAAGAUCAUCUCAGCAUUAUGGUGUAUAGCUCUAGAAGUCAUUACUGGUUACUUGGUUAGUAUCUAAGCCAAUCCUAAUUCUAUUCUUCUUUUAAAACAAGAAUUUGAAUCCUAAUCCUAACCAUAACUAGAAAGAAGUCUGAGAUUGCUGUAUUCUGAUGAAAAGUACCACCCGUUCUCUUUCUCCGAGUCUCAGACAUUACCAUCAAAAUGGAGACGGUGCUUUCCUGGUGAUUCAUUUGCAACAUUAUUAUUUUCAAUUUCUGAUAUUUUGAUGAAAGGAGAGAAACUGAGGAAGAGAAGAUAUCGAAGAUGUAAGACAAAUGAAAACGACAAAAGAAUGAAGAUGAAUAAGUUAAAACAAAAAAUGACUAGCAAAAUCAUUUCAAAAUUAGAACAUUUUAUGUAUUCUGUCCUUCUCUACCAGAGACCUGACAUCUCUCAUUUGUCUCAUUAUAGUGUAAUGUAAAUAGUUAAACACUAUCACCUAGCGUUCUGAUUUUUCACACUGGAAACCAAAGAAAAUUAAGUUUCAAUGACAUUGGCAUCCAAUUUCAGCUUCUGUGCAUGUGUGAAUGAGUGCAGAAAAAUCCUCAGAUUUAUAUUUGAUUUGGGAUGCAAGAAACAACACUGAGAUACUUGGUGCUAAUGGUGAAUCCCAUAGAUUUCAAUUCUCAUGCUUAUGCUUAUGUGAUAUGUGGACCAAACGCAUCUCAAAAACCAAUUAGUCUCGAUCCUUGGGUGCAACUAUGUUGCUGUGUAGUAAAUUUUACAUCCCAUUCAUCUCUGUCAACCCCAAAGUGGGAAAGAGAUAUAUAUACACACAUUCCAAAGAACACUAGCUCCCAGUAAAGUUAAUAGCUUAAUUGCAAGUUCAGUUUUCUUCAACUACAAAGCAACUCAGCAGUGCUACAAAAAAAUGGCAAGAUAUCUACAACUCACUAGAUUUUGGUGAAUUUCUUUGAUUAAAGCUCUAAUUGUGGCUAAUGAACCUGAUUACGACAGCUUAAUUACUUGGUAAAAAGAAAGAGAGUGAGGAUGAAAGCCUUGUGAAAACAUGCUGUGUCUGAACAAACACACUCGUAUGUUCUUAAUUUGAAGCUGUAAGGGGACAUGGACAUAAACUUAAGAAACACAAAAGUCAACCUUAAAGCACACAGCAGUCCUAUUUCUUCAGCACAUAUGUGCUAGUGCUACAAGUACAAAAUGCAAAAGUUCAAUGAAAUUAGCUUAAACACAUUAUUCAUAGCUAUCUCGAUGAUAAUGGAAAAGGGUAUGCAAAUGCAACAGCCUUAGAAAACUUGGAGAAACAAAAUAGUAGUAAAAACCAAAGAUCCAGCAUCUCAUAACUUUUGGUGCAAAGUAACAUAAUAGUGAAGGAACAAAACAAUGUUCGGUUUCCACAACAGACAUAGUGAGUCUGUGUGUAUGUUUGAACAGAUGCUUGAGCUAUACCUAUGUCAGCUAGCUGCAUAGAGCUAAUCGCCAACUAGGCAUAACUAUAAAAUUGAAAGCCCUCCAGUUUCUGACAACCUAGUUAGUUAUAUACCGUCUCUGCAGAUCAAUCUAGGCUAAUCAAAAUACACUAAUAUACCAAACUUAAGCCGCCAAACACACUAAUAUAUAAUGUCACCGAGGAUCAAUCAGUGGCUGCAUGCACGGCACCUGAAAUGUUGCUCAACUGUGUCAGGAGUUAUAUGCACACAUGUGCCAUGGAACCACUGCUCACAUAUGUUGCAUUGAAUCCAGUAUUCAGCUAACCCAAAGCACUUCCUACAGGCACCACAUAUAGUUUCCCCAUCAUCCUGUUCCACAAAAAAUGGACAGGUAUUAGUAAUAUGUAAACAAAUUCAAGUUUCAUGCACACACACAAACAAGUUCAAGUUCAUUUAUAUUUAUUAAAUCCCCCAAUACUAGUAACGCUUGUGCACACUCAGAUUUGUUCAAGUUCAUGGAAUGAUUGCUCUGCUUCAUAUUUGUUAUGUGGAUCACUGGAGAAGUUAAGACCUAACCAAUCAUAUUAGACUAAGCUUACCAAAAUGCAAAACUUAUAAUCCCUUCAUGCAAUUGCAGUGCACUGAAACAUACAAUAUUGAUGAAGGCCAAGAGAAAAUAAAUAUUGAUGCAUGUCUUCCACAGAAAAAGUGUCUCAAAACUGACAUUAAUCCUUAAUGUAAUUUUAUAAAAGCUGAAUACAACAUCUCAAAGAUCUCAUCUAAGACUAAUAUAGUGAGAAUAAGUAAAGCGAACUCACACUUAAUAUGGCACAAAUGUGAAAUCUUAGACCAUCUGAAGAGCACCUAGAGAAACAAAUCCAGCACAUACCAGUAUGAUUCUUCAAAAUUAUGAAUGCACCACCAAUCCCCUACCUUCCUUACUCUUCAUCUAAUUGCAACUAUGGCACUAGCACAUACAUAACCUCUAUAUCAACCCAGAAACAGAUAUGCUAGAUGUAAUAAAACAUAUAUGAACCAACCUAAAGGGGUCUCUGACUCCUUGAAAGCAAAUACUAGCACGGACACAGGGUAUCUUCACACAAUAGCCUAGAUAUCUCCAUUGUUGAUGCAUCAAGUCUAGGAAACUUACCUCUUCAGCAACCCUAGAUGUGCUAGUGCCAGCAGUCACUUCCCCUUCAGAUUCUCUGGAAAUUUCAUGUCUUCAAGAUCUUUUUCAGUCUGAUUUCCAUAUGGGUCAGCGAAUCAGGCAACAGACUGGUCAAAUUGGUUAGAAUGUCAUCGAACAGAGUGCCACCAUACUUGCCACCACAGUUGCCAUCAACAACAAUACUGAAACACUUGCCAUCAUCGAGGUUAAACUUAUCAUCGAGCUUAAAAUCCUCUAACCUGAGUGAAUCAUCGAGCAAAUGCUUCUGGAAAUCCUUAUAAAGUUUAUUUUGCUGACGAUGAAUGUCUUGAUACUAUCAUUUAGCUGCUGGACUUGAGAGACGUAUGCCUUGAUACCAUCAGCUAGAUGAUAGUAUCAAGACAUUCAUCCAUCAGCAAAAUAAACUUUAUAAGGAUUUCCAUAAGCAUUUGCUCGAUGAUUCACUCAGGUUAGAGGAUUUUAAGCUCGAUGAUAAGUUUAAAUCUCGAUGAUAACAUGGCAAGUGUUUCAGUAUUGUUGUUGAUGACAACUGUGGUGGCAAGUAUGGUGGUACUCUGUUCGACAACAUUCUAACCAAUUUGAUCGGCUUGUUGCCUGAUUCGCUGACCCAUAUGGAAAUCAGACUGAAAAAGAUCUUGAAGAUUCAUGGAAUUUCCAGAGAAUCUGAUGGGAAGACUGCGCGUGAUCUGACAUCCGGUGGAAAUUGGAUGUGAUGUCCUUCUCCAAAUCCGGCCUCAACAACAUCCCCCGAAAUAGAAGACGACCAGUCUUAGGGCAAGUUGACAAUAUAUCUUCAUGAAGACGACCAGUCUUAGAGCAAGUUGAUAAUCUUGAUACAUCUUUAAAGAUUUGCUCCAACUGCAGAGACAUCUUCUCGUCCUUCUUGUCGGUCGUCUCCAGAAGGGCCCUUAUGUGGGUGGUAUCAUCUUUAAUUUCAGAGGAUUGGAGUGACGUCAAAACUAUAAGGCUUAACUGGAAAUCCGAACUGACCUUGUCCAUUUGCUGGGAAUAUACGGGGAUUAUUUUCUUGAGCUUGUGGGCGAUCCCUGAUGACUUAUUCAUCCUGCCCACGAGCUGGAUAGCCCAGUCGAUGUCUUCUUUGAGCACCUUGAUGAGUUCGGUAGGUACCCCAUUGACAAAUUCUCCAGGUACCAGCGGAGAUUGAGUGUCCAGUCGCCUUGAGACAGCCCACGGCCCCUGCGACAACUCCGAAUGCCUCGGCCAUCGAAGGAGAGAGUGUUGCGCCGUUUUGGGAAUUCGAUCUGUUUCUGUUUCUCUUUGAGAGGGAGAGUGGUAGAGCUAGGGUAAGGUUUUGUGGGAUACUGCGUUGGACUUGGACACCAACAUUAGCAUAGUAGCAGGCCUCUUGUGCUGCUAGCUCAUUUUGUGGUUCUAGCCCAACUUACUAAAUAUCUUCUUUGUCUCUUAUCCUGUU